GAUGAAGAACGCAGCAAAAUGCGAUAAGUAAUGUGAAUUGCAGAAUUCAGUGAAUCAUCGAAUCUUUGAACGCACAUUGCGCCCGCCAGUAUUCUGGCGGGCAUGCCUGUUCGAGCGUCAUUUCAACCAUCAAGCACAGCUUGGUGUUGGGACUCGCGUUAAUUCGCGUUCCCCAAAUUGAUUGGCGGUCACGUCGAGCUUCCAUAGCGUAGUAGUAAAACCCUCGUUACUGGUAAUCGUCGCGGCCACGCCGUUAAACCCCAACUUCUGAAUGUUGACCUCGGAUCAGGUAGGAAUACCCGCUGAACUUAAGCAUAUCAAUAAGCGGAGGA
rnacentral:misc_RNA from 1 species